GGCGGCGUGCUUAACACAUGCAAGUCGAGUGCGCGUCUGUAGCAAUACAGAUGGCGCACGGCGCACGGGUGCGUAACACGUGGGUAAUCUGCCCUCUGAUGGGGAAUAACUCGCCGAAAGGCGAGCUAAUUCCGCAUAAUAUUCCGAGAACUUAGGUUUUUGGACUGAAAGGCGUAAGUCGUCGGAGGAGGAGCCCGCGCACGAUUAGCUAGUUGGUAGGGUAAUGGCCUACCAAGGCUUUGAUCGUUAGCUGGUCUGAGAGGAUGGCCAGCCACACUGGAACUGAGACACGGUCCAGACUCCUACGGGAGGCAGCAGUGGGGAAUCUUGCACAAUGGGCGAAAGCCUGAUGCAGCGACGCCGCGUGGGGGAUGAAGCUUUUCGGAGUGUAAACCCCUUUCGAUCCGGACGAAUGCCUCGCAAGAGGAGUGACGGUACGGAUAUAAGAAGCCCCGGCUAACUACGUGCCAGCAGCCGCGGUAAUACGUAGGGGGCCAGCGUUGUUCGGAAUUACUGGGUGUAAAGGGUUCGUANGCGGUGCGGCAAGUUGGGAGUGAAAUCUCUGGGCUCAACCCA
rnacentral:rRNA from 1 species